rnacentral:rRNA from 1 species
GAUGAACGCUGGCGGCGUGCUUAACACAUGCAAGUCGAACGAACCUUCGGGUUAGUGGCGGACGGGUGAGUAACGCGUGGGAAUCUGCCCUCAGGAGGGGGAUAACGGCCGGAAACGGCCGCUAAUACCCCAUAUGCCGAGAGGUGAAAUGAAUUUCGCCUGAGGAUGAGCCCGCGUCUGAUUAGCUAGUUGGUGGGGUAAUGGCCCACCAAGGCGACGAUCAGUAGCUGGUCUGAGAGGAUGAUCAGCCACACUGGGACUGAGACACGGCCCAGACUCCUACGGGAGGCAGCAGUGGGGAAUUUUCCGCAAUGGGCGAAAGCCUGACGGAGCAACGCCGCGUGAGGGAUGAAGGCCUCUGGGCUGUAAACCUCUUUUCUCAAGGAAGAAGACAUGACGGUACUUGAGGAAUAAGCCACGGCUAAUUCCGUGCCAGCAGCCGCGGUAAUACGGGAGUGGCAAGCGUUAUCCGGAAUUAUUGGGCGUAAAGCGUCCGCAGGCGGCCUUGUAAGUCUGUCGUUAAAGCGUGGAGCUUAACUCCAUUUAAGCGAUGGAAACUACAAGGCUUGAGUGUGGCAGGGGCAGAGGGAAUUCCCGGUGUAGCGGUGAAAUGCGUAGAUAUCGGGAAGAACACCAGUGGCGAAGGCGCUCUGCUGGGCCAUAACUGACGCUCAUGGACGAAAGCCAGGGGAGCGAAAGGGAUUAGAUACCCCUGUAGUCCUGGCCGUAAACGAUGAACACUAGGUGUCGGGGGAAUCGACCCCCUCGGUGUCGUAGCUAACGCGUUAAGUGUUCCGCCUGGGGAGUACGCACGCAAGUGUGAAACUCAAAGGAAUUGACGGGGGCCCGCACAAGCGGUGGAGUAUGUGGUUUAAUUCGAUGCAACGCGAAGAACCUUACCAGGGUUUGACAUCCUGCGAAUCCCUUGGGAAACGAGGGAGUGCCUUCGGGAGCGCAGAGANCAGGUGGUGCAUGGCUGUCGUCAGCUCGUGUCGUGAGAUGUUGGGUUAAGUCCCGCAACGAGCGCAACCCACGUCUUUAGUUGCCAGCAUUCAGUUGGGCACUCUAGAGAGACCGCCGGUGAUAAACCGGAGGAAGGUGUGGAUGACGUCAAGUCAUCAUGCCCCUUACAUCCUGGGCUACACACGUACUACAAUGCUACGGACAAAGGGUUGCAAGCUCGCGAGAGUUAGCUAAUCCCAUAAACCGUGGCUCAGUUCAGAUCGUAGGCUGCAACUCGCCUACGUGAAGGAGGAAUCGCUAGUAAUCGCAGGUCAGCAUACUGCGGUGAAUACGUUCCCGGGCCUUGUACACACCGCCCGUCACACCAUGGAAGUUGGCCAUGCCCGAAGUCGUUACUCCAACCCUUGUGGAGGANGACGCCGAAGGUGGGGCUGAUGACUGGGGUGAAGUCGUAACAAGGUAGCCGUACCGGAAGGUGCGGCUGGAUCACCUCCU